rnacentral:rRNA from 1 species
AAAUUGAAGAGUUUGAUCAUGGCUCAGAUUGAACGCUGGCGGCAGGCCUAACACAUGCAAGUCGAACGGUAACAGAAAGCAGCUUGCUGCUUUGCUGACGAGUGGCGGACGGGUGAGUAAUGUCUGGGAAACUGCCUGAUGGAGGGGGAUAACUACUGGAAACGGUAGCUAAUACCGCAUAACGUCGCAAGACCAAAGAGGGGGACCUUMGGGCCUCUUGCCAUCGGAUGUGCCCAGAUGGGAUUAGCUAGUAGGUGGGGUAAAGGCUCACCUAGGCGACGAUCCCUAGCUGGUCUGAGAGGAUGACCAGCCACACUGGAACUGAGACACGGUCCAGACUCCUACGGGAGGCAGCAGUGGGGAAUAUUGCACAAU